CUCCCCCUGCCCGCCCUUCUCUCUCUUCCCUUAGGUGGGACAAGAUGGCUUGAAUAGGCUGGAGUUGGGUAUUUCCCUUUUCCCACGUGGAAGGCUGCGGCCGACCACUCUGCGUUAGUUUCCUUCCCAGAGUCAGCUGGGCUCUGGUUACACCCUGGCAGGUUGGCUCUGGUUAAUUCCUUUCACCUGAAGACAGGCCUUAUUGAGAUCAGCGUGCUCCGCCCUGUUUCAAAAUGGCUCCUGUUUUCUUCUCGUCAGAAGCGUGAGGGGAUUUUUCUCCAGUAUUUGCUAUGCAAACCUGUGCAAGUUCCUAAAGAUUUGGAUCAAGAUAUACCACUAGUAGAAUUUAUACAUUAACAAAAACUAAAUGAUGUUAAGACCAGAACUAUGUCAGAUACCAGAUAAAUGGCAACAAAAGCAGCUGUGAGAGACUAACAGAGUCAGGAGUACCUUCUGGAUGGAUGACCUGGACAACCUGUGGUUCAUCUAUACAAUGGAGUACUACUCAGCAAUGGAAAGAAAUUAAGAGAUCAAGCCAUGAAAAUACAUGAAGGAACUUGAAACAUAUUGCUAAGCGAAAGAAACCAAUCUGAAACAGUUAUAUACUGUGUGAUUCCACUAUAUGAUAUUCUGGAAAAGGUAAAACUAUGGAGAAAGUAAAAAACUAUCAGUAGUUACCAUGGUUUCCAAGGGAGGGAGGGAUCAAUAAAUAGGGCAGAGAGGAUUUUUUGAGCAGUAACCAAUUAUUCUAUAGGAUAGUGUAACGGAUACUUGCCAUUUUAAAUUUUGUCAAAGCCCAUA